ACUCCUCUACUACCUCUAUGUCCCUGAACAACACCCAGGUAUUAAUACUCCUCUACUACCUCUAUGUCCCUGAACAACACCCAGGUAUUAAUACUCCUCUACUACCUCUAUGUCCCUGAACAACACCCAGGUAUUAAUACUCCUCUACUACCUCUAUGUCCCUGAACAACACCCAGGUAUUAAUACUCCUCUACUACCUCUAUGUCCCUGAACAACACCCAGGUAUUAAUACUCCUCUACUACCUCUAUGUCCCUGAACAACACCCAGGUAUUAAUACUCCUCUACUACCUCUAUGUCCCUGAACAACACCCAGGUAUUAAUACUCCUCUACUACCUCUAUGUCCCUGAACAACACCCAGGUAUUAAUACUCCUCUACUACCUCUAUGUCCCUGAACAACACCCAGGUAUUAAUACUCCACCACUACCUGUAUGUCUUGUCUCUGAACAACACCCAGGUAUUAAUACUCCACCACUACUUGUAUGUCCCUGAACAACACCCAGGUAUUAAUAC